rnacentral:sRNA from 1 species
AUAUGAAAGGGUGGCCUGGUUCUAAGUUCUCUCAUUCCGCUGAUUGCAGUAGUUGAUCUGGCUGAUACAGCUGGUUAGACGGAGUCCCCUUAUCCCUCCUGUGUCACGAGUGUUCCUUCUGAAGCUGCACACUCAGGUGAAGAAACAAUCUUCUCUGAGAAGGAAGACCAUCCUUCGUGCUGCGCACUCCUCCUCAAGCCUCCAGAGCAGCUCCCAAGAAGUUUCCUCUGUGAACUGAAAGCUUUCUU